CCAAAGCAAUCUUCAGCUAGAAGAACAAAGUUGGAGGCAUCAUAUUUCCUGAUUUCAAAUUAUAUUACAAACCUAUAGUAAACAAAACCACAUAGUAUGGACACAUAGACCAGUGGAACAGAAUAAAGAGCCCAGAAGUACACACAAUGUUAUAGAGUCAACUAAGUCUUGACAAGGGUACCAAGAAUACACAACCAGGCAAGAAUAGUCUCUAAUAAAUUGUGUUGGGAAAACUGGAUCAUCGCAUGGAGAAGAAUAAAAAUGCGCUCACAUCUUACACUAUGUACAAACGUCAGCUGAAAAUGGAUUAAAGACGUAAGUGUACCCUUUACUAUAAUAAGUCUUAGGACACAAGUAUAUGCUCAGUCCUGUGAGUUCUCUUAGCAAAUCACCUAACCCAGGGGUUAUCUGGGGAACCCCAGACACAGACGCAGGAAUAGAAGAACAUUGUUGUGCUUUCCCCUCUUAAAUUAAAAAUAUUAACUUACAUAUAUAUGAUCAAUGGUUUUGUAAAUUCUCAUAUGUAAUGGUAUUAAAAGAGUAGUCAAAUAUAUUAUUUAACACUUCAGGAAAAGCACUAGCUUACCUCUGAACAGAGACUUGGACACUGAAGAGAAAUGGACUGGGAGGUCCUUACUCAUUGAGGAAGAACCUCACUGGCCAGUGUGGUCAGUGUAGUUUGUAUUUUGGAUAUUAUUCUUCUCCAGGUUGCAGAGUUUGUUGAUGGAUGUGACAAACAAGACAAUUAAAUGAUAGCUGACAUUUUAACUGUACCAGAAGCUACACAUGCAGUAUCUCAUGUAGUUUUUCAGCAACCUUCCAGGUUAGACACUACUAUAAUCUCCAAUUUACCAAUGAGGACACUGAGGUCAGAAGGGAGUAAGUGACCUGCAAAUGUCACUCAGCCUGUCAGUGGCAGAGACAAGACUCACAGCCAGGCAGUGGAUGGCACAGCUCCUCUGAUCAUUCUGUGACAAUUUCUCUGCAUUGGGAACCAGUCAUGACAACCAGCGGAGAUGCUGCUGAGAAAGACAAGCUGGCAUUAUCAAUGCCUGUUAUCGGAGGACAGAAGGGACACUCUUCCCACUGCUUAGUGGCCGAGGGCUUCCUCUCCUAUCUUGAGUGUUUGUGCUAUAUGUCUGCAAUCAAGGGAAAGAAGCAGGGUGAGAUUACUUAAACUUUAAUUUGGAGAGGAAGGCAAGACUAAUUGGAUCAAUGUGCAAAAUGCCAAGCUUCUGAUGCCUCUUCUCUUCACUCGCCCUCUUCUCUCCCAAGCUCAGAAGCAGUUGAUGAAGGGUAGUUUGGUGGGGGAAAGAAUCACUCCUUAUCUUAUUCUUCAAUCAGUUCCUGAAUUGUCCUAAUCUUCUUCUCUGUUAUUGUCCUAACAACACAACUCUGACAUAAAAAAGAAAAUUAAUUUCCCUUUUAUCAAACUACUCUGAAAUUUCAUUUUCUCCAGGUACCAUCUAUUUGAUUUUGGAAAGAGCCAUCUUAACAUUAUUUUGAUGAUUUAGAAAACACCACAAAGGCGGUUCUGAAGAUGGAAAACUUACUCAUGAAUGAUGUGGACAACUUUCAAAUGAGAUGCGUAAAUUUACCUGGCUAUUGCGUGUUUUCUUGUUAGUUUCUUACAGCUCCUGAUUCAAGCCAUUUAAACUCCAGUUCUCAAAGAGGAAGACUAGACUGCUAAGUGAGGGACAGCCUGUGUAGUGUGACGGGUCACCCACCAGGUUACUUAAGCGUGAUCAUUCACUUAUGAGAAGAUCUACUUAGCUUCUAAUUGGAAGAUGAAUUUGCAAGUGUUAUUAUAAAAGGAUAUUUUCAGUCAAUACAUUGAAAAUGCUGGGUGUGUCUUCAAAGGAGUUUUAUCCAAUUCUAUUUUUGUCACUGAAGGAGGCAGUGUGUUUCCUCUUCUGAAAGAGAAUCUCACUGGUCCACCUCAUCGCUGUCAUCCUAGUUCUGCAGAGCCUUCCAGUGGAGGUCAGGUGGAAAGCUGCUGGUCAGCUUAUAGCCAUUCUUGGAUAAGAAAAUGCCUUCUCAGAGAUGCUGAGGACAUGAGGCUUUGCUAAUGAGACAUUUAUGAAGAAUCAAUGCAGUCUUUACUAACUUCCUGAGACAAGAAUAUCUGAAAUUAUAAUUAUGAAGAAACUGAUCCUUGGAGACUAAAUAAAAAUCAAUAUGAACAACAAAAAAUGGAUCUGCUCAUCCAGAUGUCCUCAUUAUAGGCUGGGUUCUCCAGGAAGAAAACAGAGAUGGAGCUAGCUAGAAGCACAAGAAACUUUGGAUGAGUAAUACCUGUGGAAGAA